rnacentral:rRNA from 1 species
AUUGAACGCUGGCGGCAGGCCUAACACAUGCAAGUCGAACGGUAACAGGAAACAGCUUGCUGUUUCGCUGACGAGUGGCGGACGGGUGAGUAAUGUCUGGGAAACUGCCUGAUGGAGGGGGAUAACUACUGGAAACGGUAGCUAAUACCGCAUAACGUCGCAAGACCAAAGAGGGGGACCCUCGGGCCUCUUGCCAUCGGAUGUGCCCAGAUGGGAUUAGCUUGUUGGUGGGGUAACGGCUCACCAAGGCGACGAUCCCUAGCUGGUCUGAGAGGAUGACCAGCCACACUGGAACUGAGACACGGUCCAGACUCCUACGGGAGGCAGCAAUGGGGAAUAUUGCACAAUGGGCGCAAGCCUGAUGCAGCCAUGCCGCGUGUAUGAAGAAGGCCUUCGGGUUGUAAAGUACUUUCAGCGGGGAGGAAGGGAGUAAAGUUAAUACCUUUGCUCAUUGACGUUACCCGCAGAAGAAGCACCGGCUAACUCCGUG